rnacentral:rRNA from 1 species
UGGGGAAUUUUGGACAAUGGGCGAAAGCCUGAUCCAGCAAUGCCGCGUGUGUGAAGAAGGCCUUCGGGUUGUAAAGCACUUUUGUCCGGAAAGAAAUCCUUGGCUCUAAUACAGUCGGGGGAUGACGGUACCGGAAGAAUAAGCACCGGCUAACUACGUGCCAGCAGCCGCGGUAAUACGUAGGGUGCAAGCGUUAAUCGGAAUUACUGGGCGUAAAGCGUGCGCAGGCGGUUUGCUAAGACCGAUGUGAAAUCCCCGGGCUAACCUGGGAACUGCAUUGGUGACUGGCAGGCUAGAGUAUGGCAGAGGGGGGUAGAAUUCCACGUGUAGCAGUGAAAUGCGUAGAGAUGUGGAGAAUACGAUGG